rnacentral:lncRNA from 1 species
GAGCAAAUGUUUAUAUUAGUUGAGGAGCUACAAGCGUUAAUACACGAUGAGGUUCAUCCAGUGCGCGUUCCUGUUCAUUCUCGCGAUGUUAGUGGUUGAUAUCACGGCAUGGCCACAACUACCACCGACUUUACUUCGAACGAGCAAUCAGUGGAAAUGCAAGACUGACGCCGACUGUACACUACCUAUGUCUAAAUGUGACACCGACUUGGAGACAUGUGUGUCCCUUUUAGUGUAGCAGGAGUAAAUGCGGGUGUUUGGGGCUCGAGAAACGUUAUUAGCUCCCCGCCCCCUAGCUUCU